CCCAGUAACUCAAUGAAUUUUGGUAGAAUAGAAAAUAGAAAAAGUAAAAUACGAUGGACAUAAACAUAAAUAGUUGAUUUUUGGGGAGACAAGAGAAAUAACCAACAGUCUACUGUUUAUCCAAUUAAACUGAAACUGGCGCUACAAAUCCACUCUCUUUCCCUGACGAACCCGAUCAUCGCCGCUUCGCCUCCCGGAAAACCCUAAAUUUCGAUCAAAACUCCCGCAAGUCAAGCGUAAGCGGCAGCCCAAGAAGAAGGGAAAAAAGAGAGAGGGGCGUCAGAUUAUAGGGCGGUCGCCGGUCGAGGAACCUGCGUUUCUGAGCCGAGAAGAAAUGAGAUUGCUUUUCUACUGGCUACUGGCUUGAUUGAGUCUUGGUGAGCUCAUUAUUUCUUGAAAGAAUUGUUCUUGAAACUUCAGAACUGCACGAUUAUUCACCCAAAAGAUAGCCUUCAGUUUCAUGGUGCUUGAUAUUUCUUUCGUGUUCUAUUAAAUCUAUGUGCCAUGGUAAAAGUACCAUAGAGGCUUUUGUACUAGGAGUUAGAUUGCAUUUUGCCCUUUCUACUAAAAAAUGAGCAAAAUAGUCCAUGUAUGUUAGAUCAAAGAGCAAACUGGUACUUCUAUUAAAAAUUUCUUCCAUUCUACUGUUAAAAACUGGUCCUUGUACCUCAACAUGAGGUACACAUGACACGUCACGUGUAAUUGUCUGAUUAUUCUAUCAGUUACACCAAUUUUUAAUGGUAGAAAUGCAUGAAAACUUUAACAGAAAGGACUAGUUAACUCUUUAAUUUAACGUACAGGGACUAAUUUGUUCAUUUUUUGAGUAAAGUGUCCAACAUGCAAUCUGACUCCUAGUACAGCAGUCUCCAUGGUACUUUGACCAUGUGCCGUUAAUGUAAGGAACUAAAAUGUCACCUGUUUAUGUCAAUGAAUAAUCUGUUCAAGGUAGUUCUCUUUUCUUCUUCUUUUUUUCGGUUAGUAACCUCAUGAUGCUCCAAUGAUGUUGCUUGAAAAUGUAUUUCCCUAUCUCCAUUAUUUUACCUUGGUUUGUUCAUUGUUUGGCUUUGCAUGAUACUUCAAUGAUCUCUGCUUCUUGCCUGUUGUGGUACAUCAGGCAGUCAAUGAAAACAUCAACCAAGUGGAUCCUUCCUCAAAUGCUCCAUUAUUUCUGCUAUUCUUUUAAGCAUGAGUUUCGUUCAAAUAUUUGCCUUUUGUUGGGUAAAUUUUAAAUACUGAUAUUGAAUGACUGAUGAGUUUUAUAAUCUCACUUUGUCCUACCUGCACAAGAAAUAUCUCUAUUUUCACUGUUGCUUA